GGAUACACGUGUUACCCAUAGUUGAUUUUCGGUGAAGAAAAACCAUUUUUUCCCGCAGAUUCAAGAUAAGAUGGUAGCGGCGAGGCUCCGGAACGUCCCAAGAAGAAUCGAGGGUGGUUUUAGAGGUUUUUGCCCGCAUUAUCGCCGACCUGCUACUGCCUGCCUUGCUGGCUGUAUCGUCUGCCACCCCGGGAAGCCGCCUACCUGCUACCAACGAAGGCGAACAUUUUGUUUGCCCCCUCCCUGGCACCCAUGCUUCCGGAUCUUCGGCAGCGCCACCCCUCCUUCCGUGGAUCGUCGAGAUAAAUCCAGCCACCCUAUCGCCGUCGACAACAUCCCCUGCGCAGCCUAUAAAGCAGCAGCCACCAUCCAGCGCGCACUGUGGGCUUCGCGGCUGUGCCACCAAACAGGCCGCUAACCCGUUCCUCCUGAUCAUGCAGGUUGGUAGUUCGUAUCCCACGUCUACUAAAAAAUCAAGUAACUACUGUUUGGUGCAGCUGCCGAGCCCACAGUGCUGCUGCUUGCUUGUUACCGAAUGUGUGAAUGUCGUACGUGCCUCGCUCUUGCUAUCGGGAGAUGUAGGGACGAACCCCGGGCCAGAUAUACUCGCUGAGCUGAAAAAGUUGUCGCAGGGCCAGUCGGCAAUAUUAUCUGAGAUGCAGGGUCUUAAAUCUCAGAUAGCCACCACAAACCAGACUAUCACCGAUCUUGGAAAUCGUAUUGCUGACUUGGAAAAUCACUGCCAAAAUCUUCUAACCCUUCGAGCGAAAGUAGAUGCAAUAAAUACUAAUACCACUGA